rnacentral:rRNA from 1 species
GACGAACGCUGGCGGCGUGCCUAAUACAUGCAAGUUGAGCGCUGAAGGUUGGUACUUGUACCGACUGGAUGAGCAGCGAACGGGUGAGUAACGCGUGGGGAAUCUGCCUUUGAGCGGGGGACAACAUUUGGAAACGAAUGCUAAUACCGCAUAAAAACUUUAAACACAAGUUUUAAGUUUGAAAGAUGCAAUUGCAUCACUCAAAGAUGAUCCCGCGUUGUAUUAGCUAGUUGGUGAGGUAAAGGCUCACCAAGGCGAUGAUACAUAGCCGACCUGAGAGGGUGAUCGGCCACAUUGGGACUGAGACACGGCCCAAACUCCUACGGGAGGCAGCAGUAGGGAAUCUUCGGCAAUGGACGAAAGUCUGACCGAGCAACGCCGCGGGAGUGAAGAAGGUUGUCGGAUCGUAAAACUCUGUUGGUAGAGAAGAACGUUGGUGAGAGUGGAAAGCUCAUCAAGUGACGGUAACUACCCAGAAAGGGACGGCUAACUACGUG